rnacentral:tRNA from 1 species
AAUUAAUAAGCAAUACUGCAUUCAGUUUCGACCUGAAAGAUAGAUAAUUUUAUCAUUAAUUA